rnacentral:pre_miRNA from 1 species
UUUGGCACUAGCACAUAAUUGCUGUAUGUUCUGCGUCGCAAUUUAUGCUAGUGGCAAGUA